rnacentral:lncRNA from 1 species
CUCAAUAAAUAUAAGCUACUAUGGUGCCCUUUUCCAGAUGAAUGAGGUAAUGUGAGCAGGAAUACAGGUGGCAGAGGCAGACUCAGAACCCAGAUCUAACUUAUUCUAGAGGCUGAGUUAGGUCUUGGCCACAAUGUUAAUUUUCUUGAUAUAUUUGAGGUAGGUUUCAAAGAAAUUAGGCAGAUAUCAUGGGAGCACUCUAGCAGUGGAAGGAUGGAGUGUUCAAUACUACAGAUGGCGUGGCUGCCAGUGGGUCACCACAAGGACACUGGUCAAUAUAGAGAGACAAUAUUAACCAACACAGGAAACUACUUCAUGGCUGUAUGAAUCAGAAUCUGAUGGCUUUCAUUUUGAUUUCUCAGAGAUGGAGAUACAAAAGGAGCAGGCCAACCUAUGCCAAUUUACCAACAAGCAAGUUUCAUGAGAACCACUCUACCAGAUGAGAGAAUAGUUUAGUUCAUACUGCGGUAUUGUCUGACAAAACGCAGAGGUCAAGUGGAUGACUCAUAGCAUGGCCAACAUCACUCAGCUACAGCUGCGGAUCUGUAGCAUGUUCUCACUGGCCAAAAGACUGCUGAUUCAGGCAAAUCUUCUGUGGGCUGGAUUAUGUGAGAAAGAAAGUGUCCAUUUUUGGGUCUCUGGAAGGAAAAGGAGACUCAGUUUUUAAGGGAAUUAAGAGGAAACAAGGCAAAAAAAUAAUUUCUUUCACAAAAAAAAAUAAAUAAAAGGGUGUGCUAUAUCCA